CAUAAAUGGGAUUAGCACUCUUACAAAAGAGGCCUGAGAGAGUUGCCUCGGCCUUUGGCCUUGUCAGGUUACACUGAGAAGACAGCUAUCUAUGAAUCAGGAAGCAGAGCUUCACCAGGGAUUUGGCGAAGUGGAAGAGAAGGCUUAAAGUUCUAUUUUCAGAUAAAAUGAGCACGAAGAAGAGAAAACAGAAAACAUCCAUUGAAUCCUCUGCCUCUGGUAAUGUAUGGCUCCCAGUAUGCCUCCUUCAAGAGCAUGACUGACCCAAUUACUAGUAUGAGCAAAAGGAAGAAACCCCCAAUUGAACUGAUGAAAAACAUAAACAGUGGCAAUGAAUUAUAACCCAGUUAAAACUGGAUCUGAAAGCUGAAUAAAAGACAUGCAAAAGCUAAAAAUGCCUAUGCCUAAUUAAAUCAUUAUUAAUAAAAUAACUGGA
rnacentral:lncRNA from 1 species